UACGGGGGUGGCAAGCGUUGUUCGGAAUUACUGGGCGUAAAGGGCGCGUAGGCGGGGAGGUAAGUCGGGUGUGAAAUCCCUCGGCUCAACCGAGGAACUGCGCCCGAGACUGGAGGGCUUGAGUGUGGGAGAGGGAUGCGGAAUUCCAGGUGUAGCGGUGAAAUGCGUAGAUAUCAGGAGGAACACCUGUGGUGUAGACAGCUUACUGGACCACUUCUGACGCUGAGACACGAAAGCGUGGGUAGCAAACAGG
rnacentral:rRNA from 1 species